CAAUAGCGUAUAUUAAAGUUGUUGCAGUUAAAAAGCUCGUAGUUGGAUUUCUGGUGGGAGCGAUCGGUCUGGCGCUUAGCGCGAGUACUUGCAUCGUCUCCGGCCAUCCUUGGGGAGAGUCUGUCUGGCAUUAGGUUGUCGGGCAGAGGAUCCUCAUCGUUUACUGUGAAAAAAUUAGAGUGUUCAAAGCAGGCUUAUGCCGUUGAAUAUAUUAGCAUGGAAUAAUAAGAUAGGACUUUGGUACUAUUUUGUUGGUUUGCGCGCCAAAGUAAUGAUUAAUAGGGACAGUUGGGGGUAUUCGUAUUCCGUUGUCAGAGGUGAAAUUCUUGGAUUUACGGAAGACGAACUACUGCGAAAGCAUUUACCAAGGAUGUUUNCAUUA
rnacentral:rRNA from 1 species